rnacentral:tRNA from 1 species
GGGCCCGUAGCUCACUGGUAGAGCAGACGACUCAUAAUCGUCUGGUAGUCGGUUCGAUCCCGACCGGGCCCACCA